rnacentral:ncRNA from 22 species
AGUGUCCGGAGCGCUGGUGGUUCACCGGCCCGCACGGGCCGGUGAGGCAAGAGGGAACCCGGUGGGAAUCCGGGACUGCCCCGCAGCGGUGAACGGGAACGACCGCCGUCAACAGCACUGGGAGUGAUCCCGGGAAGCGACAGCCAGUAGGUGUGAGCAGUGCGCCCGUGAGUCCGAAGACCUGCCACCGGUGCGCGUACCGAC